UACAGAGGGUGCAAGCGUUAAUCGGAUUUACUGGGCGUAAAGCGCGCGUAGGCGGCUCUGCAAGUCGAGUGUGAAAUCCCCAGGCUUAACCUGGGAACUGCAUUCGAGACUGCAUAGCUAGAGUAUGGGAGAGGGAAGUGGAAUUUCAGGUGUAGCGGUGAAAUGCGUAGAUAUCUGAAGGAACAUCAGUGGCGAAAGCGACUUCCUGGACCAAUACUGACGCUCAUGUGCGAAAGCGUGGGGAGCAAACAGG
rnacentral:rRNA from 1 species